UACGUAGGGUGCGAGCGUUGUCCGGAAUUAUUGGGCGUAAAGAGCUCGUAGGCGGUCUGUCGCGUCGGUCGUGAAAACUUGGGGCUUAACCCUGAGCUUGCGGUCGAUACGGGCAUCACUGGAGUUCGGCAGGGGAGACUGGAAUUCCUGGUGUAGCGGUGAAAUGCGCAGAUAUCAGGAGGAACACCGGUGGCGAAGGCGGGUCUCUGGGCCGAUACUGACGCUGAGGAGCGAAAGCAUGGGUAGCGAACAGG
rnacentral:rRNA from 1 species